UUUUCCCACCCCUCCGGUUCCCCCCCGCCCGGCGCCACGAGACGAGAGCGGGAGGGCUGGGGGGGGCAGAGGCUCUCCCCUUUAUUUAUUUUCACCCCCCGGCCCCUCUCACCAUGAUGUUUCGCGACCAGGUCGGCGUGCUGGCCGGCUGGUUCAAGGGCUGGAACGAGUGCGAGCAGACUGUUGCGCUGCUCUCGCUGCUCAAGCGCGUCAGCCGGACCCAAGCCCGCUUCCUGCAGCUCUGCCUCGAGCACUCCCUGGCAGACUGCACCGAGCUGCACAUCCUCGAAGGGGAGGCCAACAACCCCGGAAUCAUUAACCAAUGGCAACAGGAAUCCAAGGAUAAAGUGAUUUCCCUAUUGUUAACCCACCUGCCCUUACUGAAGCCCGGAAACAUCGAAGCAAAAGUCGAAUACAUGAAACUCUUGCCUAAAAUCCUGGCCCACUCGAUUGAACACAACCAACACAUCGAGGAGAGCCGGCAGCUGCUGUCCUACGCCUUGAUACACCCCGCCACCUCGCUGGAGGACAGGAGCGCUCUCGCCAUGUGGCUCAACCACCUGGAGGACCGCACGUCGGGGAGCUUCGGCGGCCAGAGCCGGGGCCGGUCGGACUCGGUGGACUACGGGCAGACGCACUACUAUCACCAAAGACAGAACUCCGACGAUAAACUCAACGGAUGGCAAAACUCUCGAGACUCGGGCAUAAGCGUCAGCGCUUCCAGCUGGCAGGACAAAAACCUGGCCUGCGAGAACGGCCAUCUGCCCCUCUACUCCUCCUCCUCCGUCCCCACCACCAUCAACACCAUCGGCACUAGCACAAGCACGAUUCUCUCAGGCCAGACACACCACAGCCCUUUGAAACGCUCUGUGUCCCUUACCCCACCCAUGAAUGUGCCAAACCAGCCUCUAGGACAUGGAUGGAUGUCUCAUGAGGACUUACGAGCUAGAGGACCCCAGUGCAUCCCUUCCGAUCAUGCCCCCCUGUCUCCACAAAGCAGUGUAGCCUCUUCGGGAAGUGGUGGGAGUGAACAUUUAGAAGAUCAGCCUUCCGCUCGUAACACAUUCCAGGAGGAAGGGAGUGGUAUGAAAGAUGUUCCAGCCUGGCUGAAGAGUCUCCGGCUGCACAAGUACGCGGCGCUCUUCUCGCAGAUGACGUAUGAGGAGAUGAUGGCCCUCACCGAAUGCCAGCUGGAGGCACAAAACGUUACCAAAGGCGCAAGACACAAAAUAGUCAUCAGUAUCCAAAAGCUAAAAGAAAGACAAAACCUGCUCAAGUCUUUAGAAAGGGACAUCCUGGAAGGCGGCAACCUGCGUGUCCCGCUGCAGGAACUACACCAAAUGAUCCUCACCCCCAUCAAAGCCUACUGUUCCCAAACCUCGAGCCCGGAGGAGCAUGGCCGGGAUGCGGACUCGCAUCACCCCCCGUCCCUGCUGGGCUCGGACAGCCAAGGCUCCGACUGCAAGGACUCUGCCGCGGGAGGCAUGCAGCAGCACCACUUGCCGGGCUGCGAGGGCGAGUCGGGGGGGGGCCCUUUGCCCGAAGGCGACCUGCCCGGCCAGUUCACGAGAGUGAUGGGGAAAGUAUGCACGCAGCUUUUAGUUUCCCGACCCGAUGAAGAGAACAUAAGCUCCUAUUUACAGCUCAUAGACAAGUGUCUAAUUCACGAGGCGUUUACAGAGAUCCAGAAGAAACGGCUGUUGUCAUGGAAACAGCAGGUGCAAAAACUCUUUAGGUCUUUCCCUCGGAAAUCCCUCCUGGAGCUGUCGGGCUAUCGGCAGCAGCGGAGCCGAGGCUUUGGCCAGUCCAACUCCUUGCCGACAGCCGGAUCCGCAGGGGCAGGGCUGGGCAGGCGAAACCCCCGCCAGUUCCAGAUCCCCUCCCGCAACCUCCCCACCGCCCGCCUGGGGCUGCUGGGUCCCAGCGGGCUGCUGGGCACCCCCCAGCGCAGCCCCGCCGCCAGCCCCGCCAUCCUCAAGCAAGGCAGACAGAACCUCUGGUUUGCCAACCCCGGGGGCAGCAACAGCAUGCCCAGCCGGAGCCACAGCUCGGUGCAGAGGACGCGCUCGCUGCCGGUGCACACCUCCCCGCAGACCAUGCUGAUGUUCCAGCAGCCAGAGUUCCAGGUGCCGGUGACUGAACCUGACAUCAACAACAGGCUGGAGUCCCUGUGCCUGAGCAUGACGGAGCACGCGCUCAGCGGUGAGCACUCCCUCCUCCUCGGGCUCUUCCAGCACGUCCAGGCGGCCUCGGCCGAGCCCCCCGGGAGCUGCCCCGCGCCCCCCAAAGGCUGGGACAGGCUGUGGCUCUGAGGGCCGGGCCGGGAUGGACGCUGCUCCCGGGGAGGGCUCUCGGCAAGCUGUGUUGGGGCAGAGGGGUAAAACCGGACGCGGGGAUCGCGGCCAGCACUAGCACAGCCCGUGCUUCUUAGCCACUAGUUAGCUUGCUAACCGUAAUUAGUGGUGCCUCACUAGUCUGCUGUUAGUUAGCGAUAAAGCCACCCGGUUCACAGGCUUUGGAGCGUUUUUAACCCCUCUGCCAGCCCUGGCCCCGCUUUGCUGGGGGAUGUGGGAGCCCCACAGCAUGGGGCUGGAGCUGUCCCGUUGUCGCAGUGCCAGCGAUGCUGGCAGCCUGGGACGCCCAUGGGGACGAGGUGCGGGGAGGGAGGAGGGCCAGGCUGCAGCACGGGCAGGGAAGGUGGGAGAGGAGACCCCCGGGGAGGCACCGCACACGCCCCCGACCGAUGCACCGGACCUGGCAGCGCGGAUGGCGCGGGAGCCCCCAGCCCAGCCCGCAAAGAUGGGACGAGCUCAGCAGCCCGCGGCGCCCAGACCCUCCCGAAUAACCAGCUUGUGCCUCGUGCCCUGAAAGUCGCGGAUGGACGGACGGUGGAGGAUGGGAGCCCGCGGGGAGGACGGGUGCCCCCGGCGCGGCUCCUUGCAGCAAUGGCACGGCCCGUCCCCGGGGAGAGAGAGAGAGAGAGACGCGGGAGCGAGGACUGUACGAGGCAGCAGGGUGCUGGCAGCACCCCUGGCCGUGAAAACAAGGACACUGCUGUUACCCGAAGCGUUCCUCCGGCGUGUGCCCAGGCGAGGCUUAACUGUGUUGUUCCUCCGCAGGAUGGUGUCGACCGGACCUCCACGAUCUAGAGGACGGCGCGGCGGCGGCGCUGGCCGGGAGAACAACUGCUGCGGGUCCAGCGGCGAGGUCCGGGCGCGCGCGGGAGCCUCAGCGACAGCUUGCAUCCUUUUCUCUCUUUCUCUCCUCUCUCUUUCUCUCCCUCUCUCUCUCUCCUGUUUUAAUUUUGUGAAUGUGUAGAUUGUCCUUGUGAACAUAUCACUAGACUUGGAAUUUGUGUUGUCAUUUAUUACAUCCAUGCCAGGGGGGAAACGGCAAAAAAAUAAAUGGCGAUGAUGGACAAAAAAAAAAAGCAUGGGGAGGGUGGGGGGGAUGCGGCAGGAAAGUGCUGACAAUGAGGUUUCACCAGCGCACCGUGGGCAGACCCUGUUUUUGAACCAGGCAAUGAAUCGAUAGCACCUGCGGGUGACCAAAGCCCUCUGGGGAGGAUCUGUAAGGGCCGGGGCCAGUGGGGACCCCGCGGGUGCUGCCACCUGCCCGGUCCCUGGCCUUGUCCCAUCGGUGCCAUUCGCAAAAACGCCCCUUGGCAUCGCCGGCUCGCGUUUAGCUGAGUUCAGGGGCUGGACCAGCAGCCGAAAAAAGGCGAGCGAAUUCAAAAAGGAAACAACAACAACAACAACAAAAAAACAAUCAAAAAAAAAAAUCCAACAAACCUUCCUUUCAGUUUUGCAUCCGAAAUGGCGACCUGCCUGUUGCUUACACGGCGGCGGUGUCGAAGGGCGCGCGCUCCCGCUGCCGGGGGGUUGUGUCCGUCUGUCCGGCCGCCCUCGGCGGUGGCCGGCUGGCCAAGGGCCCCGGGAUGUCGGCGAGGGGCGAUGCUGUGUGCGGUGAGUGUCCGUUUCUCUGUCUUGUGGGUAGCGGGAAGGUGCUGCAUCCUGGCUUUACACAUCUGCCCAGCCUGCCCGAACCGCCUCUAAAUCCCAUUAAAACCCCAUUCGAAAGAGGCUUUUCCAGCCCUGGGAUGGCCGGAGGGGGGUCCUGGCCUCCAGGAGAGGGGAGUUUGGGGAGUGAGCACGCGUUGAUCGGGCACAAAUUACCAAGCGGGAGCGCAGCGAGCACCAAAAGGCCGCCCCGGUUUGGGGCACGAAACGCACCAGGGAGUGGCUAUGGAUUACGGUGGCUCGUGCCCACCUCCUCCAACAGCCUUGGUGGGGGAAUUUAGUAACAACUACAGAAAUCUCGAUCGCUCAAGGCAGGAGGGUGGUCUCCUGCGGCUGAGUUUUGCUGUAAGCAUGGCCAUAGCCUGGGCUGGGCCAAGCGAAGGCUGCGAGCGGGGUCACGGCGGCACUGCCAGAAUGGGCUUGGCCAAAAGCCUCGGUCGGCCGCUCUGCCGGCAGCGGGGUUUCGGUGCCAAGCCCUCGGCAGGGUCAUUUCCAAAGCGAGCUGGGGGCUGAGCAGGGCUGGGGAGGGCUGGUCAUGGCUGCUGGCAGAUCUGGAAACUCAUUUUUGAUGCAGCAUUUUAAAGUAGUUUAUAUAUAUAUAUAUAUGUAAAAAAAAGUGCCAAAUGUUUUAUGUUUGCUAUUUCUUGGUUUCCUGUUUACCGGAAGGCUUGAGGUGAUGUUUACGGGGAGGGGAGAGCGGAGGAGGAAAACCAGAGCCCAGGAGGGGCUGGGAAGUGUUGCGAGGAGCCUGAAAACGAGCGGGGCAGGGGAGGGGGCGCGGCGAGGCUGGGGGCACCCAGCACCCGCGGCGAGCGCGAGCACCGCGGCGCCAGGCUUUCGAAAGGAAGACCCGAAGCUGAGAUUCUAUUUAUUCCUUUGCUGAAUAUAGAAACAGAGGUUAUCUGAUUGUUAGAGAGAUUAUUUUGGAUAUAUUACUUGUGAACUUGCUAUGGCUGGUAACCAUGAUAAUGUCUGUUAUUAACAACCACCAAAUAAUUCGUUGUUGUUUUUUCUUUUUUUUUGUUGUUUUUUUCCUUUUUUUUUUUUUAAGCUUAUUUUCCAUUGACAGCGUAUAGGUUAAUAACUACUUAGUUGUGUUUGCUGUUCCUUGUUUUUAAGUAAAAGGAAAAAAAAAAAAAAAAAAAAAAAGUGGCUUCAGUUCCAUUUUGGAAGUCCUUCCUGGCUCUGUGGGAGGCCUGUGCUGAGUGCAGGUAACAGAGCUCUGUUUAAAGAAAAAAGAAA